AAUCUCAUCCUUAUAAUCAUAUGAAAAUUAACUCAUCCAGUACAUUAUGUCACGGAAUGUUCAUGAUCAAAAGAAAUACAUUGAGCAAAUGAAUAUAAAUAUAUAUAUAUAACAACAAUACCACAGAAUCGCAAAAAAAAAAACAAAAAAAACGUAUCGCUUGUCAUGAUUAUUGUUUCCCUUACUCCUGGAUUAAAAAGAUUGUUAUCUUACUUCGAGAAGGACUUAUCCUGGAUUGGAUAAAAGAUUUCAUCACAUUCAUUUAUAGAUCCUGCCAAAAGGUUGAGAAAAUAAUCCUGCACACAGGAGAUAAACUGGAUCUAACAAACAUAAGGUUGAGGUCUUUGGGGGGUAAAACACUCGAUAUCAUAGUUUGACAUUGAUGUCCUUGCUUGUUCUCAUUGGUGUAGAUAAUUGUGACUGUCAAACUCUCUGGUCCUCAAGGUCAACUAUGUCUGUCAAACUCUCUGGUCCUCAAGGUCAACUAUGUCUGUCAAACUCUCUGGUCCUCAAGGUCAACUAUGUCUGUCAAACUCUCUGGUCCUCAAGGUCAACUAUGUCUGUCAAACUCUCUGGUCCUCAAGGUCAACUAUGUCUGUCAAACUCUCUGGUCCUCAAGGUCAACUGUGACUCUCAAACGCUCUUGAUAUCAAGGCCAACCAAGACUUCCAACUCUCUGGUCCUCAAGGUAAAAAGUGAAUGUCAAACUCUCUGGUUCUCAAGGUCAAAAGUGAAUGUCAAACUCUCGGGUUCUCAAGGUCAAAUGUCCCUGCCAAACUCUCUAGAUCUCAAGGUUAAUUGUUAUUGUCAAACUCUAGAUCUCAAGGUCAACUGUUACUAUCAAAGUAUCUGGUCCUCAAGAACAACUGUGACUGUCAAAAUUUCUAGAUCUCAAGGUCAACUGUGACUGUCAAACUCUGUGGUUCUCGAGGUCAACUGUGACUGUCAAACACUCUAGAUCUCAAGGACAAAAGUGACUAUCAAACACUCUUUGAAAUCAAAGCCAACCAAGACUGUCAAACUCUCUGGUCCUCAAGGUAAACUGUCAAUGUCAAACUCUAUAGAUCUCAAGGUCAACUGUGAUUGUCACAUGCCUGUCACACAGUGAUAAUCUGUUUAACAGUGAUAACCAUUUAUCCAUUCAGUACUCGGGCAGCAUGACAGUGAUUCUGGCAUAUAGGCAAUAAUCUAGUUACUAUAUAUCGGGUAUUUUUUGCAUGUAUCUAAUUUUUGUGAAUUUGGAGACCUUUCAAAAUUAAAAAAUUGUAAAAGUUUCAUGUUGAUUGUCUAUGAAUUGCCUCCUAGAUAGGUUAUGUAUUUUAUAAGUGAAACAAGAGUUUCUCUGGUCCCUACCUAUAUCAUCAACCUACCAUAACAAACAUAUAAACACAUUGUUCAGUAGUCCUGGCAAAGCCACAUAAUAAAUCGUUGGUGCAUGGGUCACUUGCGAAUUAUAGUUUAGUCUACCUCUCACGGAUUUUAACUACAAAUCUGUAUAAGUCCAUGACAUAUAUUUCAGGCAGCACGAAAAAUGUUAAGAAGUGUACUCGACAACUUCAAAGCCGAGUGUUGAUGCAAAAAUAUUGUUACUUUUAAUCUUCUGACACUUUAAAAAUGUAAAAUAUUAAAUCACUAAAAUUAAACAGUAGAUUUUCAUAAUUAGAGCAAAAACUUCAUCUUGCAAAAACUACCUGAUGUACAGUACCUAAUCAGAAUUUAUUUUCAAUGGAAAUAACCAAUGAGAUAUCAGAACACAAACAUAUAAAUUCUAAUGAGGAUAUAUGACAUAGGAAUGCUGUCUACAAUAUGUACAUGUAUCAGCAGCAGUUUGGGACACUCAAGGCAUCACAUAAAACAAGUUUUAACGUAUUCAUAAAGCCACAUAAAAAUAUCAUAGCAUACAUGGCUGUAUACAAUACUAUGAAAACAAAUCUAUUCCAGUACAUACGAGGAAUAAUUUUUUUCAAAUUCAUUUUGAGCAAGUCAUGAUUGAUUAAAUCAAUACAUAUAUUGGGGAAAUGAUAGUAAUUCCAACAAGCUUCCAACAUGAGAUACUACAUACAUACAGUGGAUACUGGUUUCACCAUAACCAUUCAGUCAGACAGAUUCCUCUUCAUGAAUGAUCAAUUAUGAGAAAUCUCCUUUUAGCAUUUUAAAACUUGUGAAACUACAUGUAUUUAAAAAAAAAAUCAAAAAAAAUGUGAAUAAGUAGUGAAUUUCAAAGUUGUACAAGCAAAGGUUACAUUAUACAUCUCGUACUUGGCUUUGAUUUGAGCUUGCCAUUCUUGGCCCUAAUCAGCUUCCAAGCUAUGGCUAUACCAUCAGACAGAGUGAUCAGUAUGUAGGUUCCUUACAGGUGUAAUGGAUCAGCUGAGAUGUUUGAUUAACAUUAGAAUAUUAUAUGAAAGCUGAUGAACACAUCACCGGUAAGGCAUAUCAAAAAGGCACUUCCGAAUGGUCACUUUAUAUAUAUACUGUAUCCCAAUGAUAACUAUACACAUAUGUAUACUUCCGAGUCAUUGUCUCCUCAAUAACCCGAGUACAUCAUAGUUUUAUUUGUUGUGUCUUUUGAUGAAUUAAGAUCAAUGAUGUGUGAGAAAGUCAAUAUACAUGAUCAAGUUUUUAUAUUUUCGGGAUAAUGGCCUCGGUUUGUCAUUUCCAUCCCGAUCACAUUUGUAUAUUCAUUUUUUCCAUGCUUUCUUAGACUAGAAAUAACAAACCCUUUCUAAUAUCCUUUCUCAAAUCUGUUUGUGUAUUGAACUUGCAACAUUUUAUUCCAUAACAAUCACUCCAUGGAUUUAUCCAUCAGCGUUACAAUGGAAGUCACAUAACCACGGCAUACACAUUUCUCUCAAUGGAGUUAUAAUCUCGUGAGCAAAAUAACAGAUAUUACUACAAAAUGUAAUUCUGUUAAAAACAUACCUUUUCAAAAAUAUAAAUAACUUUUAUUUGGUAUUAUAAAAAUAACUGUUAAAAAAGGAACAAAAUGCAAAAAAAAAA